rnacentral:lncRNA from 1 species
CAUGGGGAUUAAAUGACUCGUUUUUUAAAAACUUGGUACAGUAAGGAGUACAGAGUAAGGACUUAGUAACUUUAAUUAUUCCCUACACAUCAAAUGCUGCUACUUACCAAAUCUACUUUAUUUUCGUUCAUUCAGCAACCGACUACCGAGUGCCUACUGUGUGCCAUGUGCCCUGCCAGAUGCUGGGACUAGAGCAUCCGCCCUCCCAUCUCAGGGAUCCUUACAGCAGAACGGGAAGCACAGAUGAUAAAGGAAUGCUUGCUGGCGGCGGCUGCCGGGGAGCCCAGCACAGGAUCUGCUCCUCGGAGGGUCAUACAGCUUUCUAAGGUAUGGUUUCUCGGGGUCAUCUGGUUACCUGGAGUUAUAUGGCUGCCCAAGGUCAUACGGCUUACCAGGGUCAUAUGGCUUCUUGGGGUCAUUAUGGGUUCUUAAGGUCAUAGGGCUUCUUGGAGUGAUACAAUCACCUGGUGUCAUAUGGCUGCCUGGUCAUAGGGCGCCCUAGGGUCGUAUGUCCACCUAGGGUGAUACAACUACCUGGGUCAUGUGGACACUGGGGCCACUGUGUGUCUUCAGAAGAGGUUCAGGAGGGGAUCCCUGGGUGGCUCAGCAGUUUAGCGCCUGCCUUUGGCCCAGAGUGUGAUCCUGGAGACCCGGGAUCGAGUCCCACGUCAGGCUCCCGGCAUGGAGCCUGCUUCUCCCUCCUCCUGUGUCUCUGCUUCUCUCUCUCUCUCUCUAUGUCUAUCAUAAAAUAAAUAAAUAAAUCUUAAAAAAAAAAAAAAAAAG